rnacentral:rRNA from 1 species
AACGUAGGUGGCGAGCGUUAUCCGGAUUCAUUGGGCGUAAGGCGCUUGUAGGCGGCCUUGUAAGUUGGACGUGAAAUCUCCCGGCUUAACCGGGCGGGGUCGUUCAAUACUGCAGGGCUGGAGGAUGUCAGAGGGCAGCGGAAUUCCUGGUGUAGCAGUGAAAUGCGUAGAUAUCAGGAGGAACACCGGUGGCGAAGGCGGCAUCCUGGACCGGUAUUGACGCUGAGGCGCGAAAGCUAGGGGAGCAAACGGG